GUAUAAUAUCAUAUAUACUUUUUUCCCCUACUGUAUUAUUGACUGUAUGUUUGUUUUACUCCAUGUGUAACUCUGUGUUGUUGUAUGUUGUCGAACUGCUUUGCUUUAUCUUGACCAGGUCGCAGUUGUAAAUGAGAACUUGUUCUCAACUAGCCUACCUGGUUAAAUAAAGGUGAAAUAAAACAGAAUGUAAAAAGGGAUUCAGCAACACCCAUUGGUGAGUAUUUAGUUAUGUAUUCUACUGGAAACACGUGACCUGUCCUACUACGUCGUCGUCAGCUGAGACAGGCGACAUGGCGACUUCAGCGGGAUUUAAGGUUCUAUAUGAGCAUGAUGGAGUUUUUAUACACACCAACCCAGAAAGGAGUGAGGAGCAGGAUUCUCUCACUUCAGGAUUCCUGCGUGUCCUGGACCAGGAUGGAGACAUAGUGCUGGAAUAUAAACCCAUGGAAGAUGUUGACCACUCUGCCAUGCUGUGUGCUGCCAAGGUUAGACUUCAUUUGCAUAUCUUUAGA